rnacentral:rRNA from 1 species
CCUACGGGAGGCAGCAGUGGGGAAUAUUGCACAAUGGGCGCAAGCCUGAUGCAGCCAUGCCGCGUGUGUGAAGAAGGCCUUCGGGUUGUAAAGCACUUUCAGCGGGGAGGAAGGCGGUGAGGUUAAUAACCUCAUCGAUUGACGUUACCCGCAGAAGAGGCACCGGCUAACUCCGUGCCAGCAGCCGCGGUAAUACGGAGGGUGCAAGCGUUAAUCGGAAUUACUGGGCGUAAAGCGCACGCAGGCGGUCUGUCAAGUCGGAUGUGAAAUCCCCGGGCUCAACCUGGGAACUGCAUUCGAAACUGGCAGGCUAGAGUCUUGUAGAGGGGGGUAGAAUUCCAGGUGUAGCGGUGAAAUGCGUAGAGAUCUGGAGGAAUACCGGUGGCAAAGGCGGCCCCCUGGACAAAGACUGACGCUCAGGUGCGAAAGCGUGGGGAGCAAACAGGGUUAGAUACCCGGGUAGUC